UACGAAGGGGACUAGCGUUGUUCGGAAUUACUGGGCGUAAAGCGCGCGUAGGCGGUUCGCUAAGUCAGGGGUGAAAUCCCAGGGCUCAACCCUGGAACUGCCUUUGAUACUGACGAUCUGGAGAUCGGGAGAGGUUGGUGGAAUUCCGAGUGUAGAGGUGAAAUUCGUAGAUAUUCGGAGGAACACCAGAAGCGAAGGCGGCCAACUGGCCCGAUACUGACGCUGAGGCGCGAAAGCGUGGGGAGCAAACAGG
rnacentral:rRNA from 1 species